rnacentral:rRNA from 1 species
AUUGAACGCUGGCGGCAUGCCUUACACAUGCAAGUCGAACGGUAACGCGGGGCAACCUGGCGACGAGUGGCGAACGGGUGAGUAAUGCAUCGGAACGUGCCCGGAAGUGGGGGAUAGCCCGGCGAAAGCCGGAUUAAUACCGCAUGAGACCUGAGGGUGAAAGCGGGGGAUCGCAAGACCUCGCGCUUUUGGAGCGGCCGAUGUCAGAUUAGCUAGUUGGUGGGGUAAAGGCCUACCAAGGCGACGAUCUGUAGCUGGUCUGAGAGGACGACCAGCCACACGGGGACUGAGACACGGCCCAGACUCCUACGGGAGGCAGCAGUGGGGAGUUUUGGACAAUGGGCGCAAGCCUGAUCCAGCCAUGCCGCGUGCGGGAAGAAGGCCUUCGGGUUGUAAACCGCUUUUGUCAGGGAAGAAACGCUCUGGGCUAAUACCCUGGGGUAAUGACGGUACCUGAAGAAUAAGCACCGGCUAACUACGUGCCAGCCGCCGCGGUAA